rnacentral:rRNA from 1 species
ACCCGAAAGGUGGUGAACUAUGCCCGUGAAGGAGGAAGUCAGGAGAAACUCUGAUGGACGUCCGUAGCGUUAUUGAUGUGCAAAUCAUUUGUCAGAUGUGGGUAUAGGUGCGAAAGACUCAUCGAACCACCUAAUAGCUGGUUUCCCCCGAAGUUUCCCUCAGGAUAGCCGUAAUGCGAUAGUUAAGGGGAGUAGAGCAAUGGGUAGAGGUGUAGGGGGGCUUCGGCCCUUCAACUUAUUUCCAAACUUCGAAUCUCCUUGUCACUUGCUUACCUAAUCGGAAGCAGGUGAAUGAAUAAGCGUUAUGAGUGGGCUCUGACCGGUAAGCGGUCAUGGCGAAACGGGAUGAACCGAACGUCAAGAUAAGGUGCCUAAAUGUACUACCACUGAUACCAUUAAGAGAGUCUCUGUAUUUAGACAGCAGGUCGGUGCCCCUAAAAGCAGGUACCCGCUAAUGAGUGUGUUAAAACUCACCUGCCGAAUACUAAGGCCUCGAAAAUGAAUGGCGCAGAUAGUACUACCGAUCCUUGACACUAGUUAGAUAUAACUAGGAGUAGGGGGACGUGGGAAUCUCUAUAAAGCGGUCAUGUGAGUGGCCGUGAAGGGGUUUCUAUUGCAGAUCCUAAUUGAAGUAGCGUUUAUCCAGGUUUACAUCCUGGGGGCUGAUGAGGAGUAGGGUUUCUGGGCAACGUACAUCGUCCCAGAGUUAGUCGAUCCUGAUCUCGAUAGUCGGGAGAAAGGGAGCACGGUUGACAUUCCGUGACUAGACUUGAAUCUGUGGCGACACAUUCCAGCUUUAUCCACCGACGUUAUACCGCGGGCAGGGAUCUCUUUCCUGCAUGACUUUUUUGCGUCCUAGGAAUCAGGUCAACUGGGGAACAGCGACGCGAAAGGGGCAAAAUGUGAUUUCGGUCACAUCUGUUGGCUGUUGUGUUGGUCCAUGAAGAGAGAGCUGGUAUUUCAAUCUACUCGUACCGAUGACCGCAUCAGGUCUCCAAGGUGAGAAGCCUAUGGCCAUUGAGGCAUGAUAGUUCAGGGAAUUCGGCCAAUUAGAGCUGUAACUUCGGGAUAAAGCUUGGCUCUGAUGAAAAUCAGAACUGAUUGUUACAAGGGGAGCCCAACUGUUUAAUAAAAACGCAGUAUCGCGCGGAUCUAGUAAAGGAUGUGAACGCGAUAUGAAUCCUGCUCAGUGCUGUGUCUGUUAACAUGGUUCAAGCCAACGAAGCACCGGUAAAUAGCUGGGGUAACUAUGACUCUUAUCAAAGUAGCGAAAUACCUCGUCACUUAAUUAGUGACCUGCAUGAACGGAGCUAUGAGGUUCUCACUGUCCCAAACUGUCUCUCAGCGAACCAACUGUAGUGGGAACGGGCACUAGAUAUCCAGCGGGGAAAGAAGACCCUGUAGCGCUUCACUUUGGUCUGGUCUAGUAUAGUUUCGUU